UGAGUAACACGUGGGAACCUGCCCUGUAGUAUGGAAUAACCACUGGAAACGGUGGCUAAUACCGUAUACGCCCUUCGGGGGAAAGAUUUAUCGCUAUAGGAUGGGCCCGCGGCAGAUUAGCUUGUUGGUAAGGUAAUGGCUUACCAAGGCAAUGAUCUGUAGCUGGUUUGAGAGGACGAUCAGCCACACUGGAACUGAGACACUGUCCAGACUCCUACGGGAGGCUGCAGUCAGGAAUCUUGGACAAUGGGGGAAACCCUGAUCCAGCCAUGCCGCGUGAGUGAAGAAGGCCUUCGGGUCGUAAAGCUCUUUCGCACGUGACGAUGAUGACGGUAACGUGAGAAGAAGCACCGGCUAACUUCGUGCCAGCAGCCGCGGUAAUACGAAGGGUGCAAGCGUUGUUCGGAUUUACUGGGCGUAAAGCGCAUGUAGGCGGUAUAUCAAGUCAGAGGUGAAAGCCCAAGGCUCAACCUUGGAACUGCCUUUGAUACCGAUAAACUAGAGUACGAUAGAGGAUAGCGGAAUUUCCAGUGUAGAGGUGAAAUUCGUAGAUAUUGGAAGGAACACCAGUGGCGAAAGCGGCUAUCUGGAUCGUAACUGACGCUAAGAUGCGAAAGCGUGGGUAGCAAACAGGAUUAGAUACCCUGGUAGUCCACGCCGUAAACGAUGAGUGCUAGAUGUUGGGAACAUUUGUUUUCAGUGUCACAGUUAACGCGUUAAGCACUCCGCCUGGGGAGUACGGCCGCAAGGUUAAAACUUAAAGGAAUUGACGGGGACCCGCACAAGCGGUGGAGCAUGUUGUUUAAUUCGAAGAUACGCGAACAACCUUACCUACUCUUGACAUCCCGAUCGCGAAUUUCAGAGAUGAUUUUCUUCAGUUUGGCUGGAUCGGUGACAGAUGCUGCAUGGUUGUCGUCAGCUCGUGUCGUGAGAUGUUGGGUUAAGUCCCGC
rnacentral:rRNA from 1 species